rnacentral:rRNA from 1 species
AUGAACGCUAGCGGCAGGCCUAACACCUGCAAGUCGAGGGGUAGAAGGAGCUUGCUCCUUUGAGACCGGCGCACGGGUGCGUAACGCGUAUGCAAUCUACCUUGUACAGGGGAAUAGCCCAGAGAAAUUUGGAUUAAUGCCCCAUAGUAUAUAACCUUCGCAUGUUGGUUAUAUUAAAGUUCCAACGGUACAAGAUGAGCAUGCGUCCCAUUAGUUAGUUGGUAAGGUAACGGCUUACCAAGACGAUGAUGGGCAGGGGUCCUGAGAGGGAGAUCCCCCACACUGGUACUGAGACACGGACCAGACUCCUACGGGAGGCAGCAGUGAGGAAUAUUGGUCAAUGGUCGCAAGACUGAACCAGCCAUGCCGCGUGCAGGAAGACGGUCCUAUGGAUUGUAAACUGCUUUUAUACAGGAAGAAACCCUCCCACGUGUGGGAGCUUGACGGUACUGUAGGAAUAAGGAUCGGCUAACUCCGUG